rnacentral:rRNA from 1 species
CAGUCGCCACGGGAAUACGAAGGGGGCUAGCGUUGUUCGGAAUUACUGGGCGUAAAGCGCACGUAGGCGGAUAUUUAAGUCAGGGGUGAAAUCCCGCAGCUCAACUGCGGAACUGCCUUUGAUACUGGGUAUCUUGAGUAUGGAAGAGGUUAGUGGAAUUGCGAGUGUAGAGGUGAAAUUCGUAGAUAUUCGCAGGAACACCAGUGGCGAAGGCGGCUAACUGGUCCAACACUGACACUGAGGCACGAAAGCGUGGGGAGCAAACAGGAUUAGAUACCCGUGUAGUCCCUGUCUCUUAUAC